rnacentral:rRNA from 1 species
GAUGAACGCUGACAGAAUGCUUAACACAUGCAAGUCUUUGGCGAAGCUGUGCUUGCACAGCCUAGCCAAGGCGGACGGGUGAGUAACGCGUCAGGAACUUGCCCUGCAGUCAGGGAUAACAGACGGAAACGACUGAUAAGACCUGGUAAAGUCAGGCGGACUCAUGUCCAGCCUGAUGAAAAGAGAUGCUGCAGGAGAGCCUUGCGUCCUAUUAGCUUGUUGGUGGGGUAACGGCCCACCAAGGCGAUGAUAGGUAGCCGGCCUGAGAGGGUGGACGGCCACGAGGGGACUGAGAUACGGCCCUUACGCAUACGGGAGGCAGCAGUGGGGAAUAUUGGACAAUGGGGGCAACACUGAUCCAGCAAUUCUGUGUGCACGAUGAAGGUUUUCGGAGUGUAAAGUGGUUUAAGCAGGGAAGAAAAAAAUGACGGUACCUGCAGAAGAAGCGACGGCUAAAUACGUG